GAACUGAAGAGUUUGAUCAUGGCUCAGAUUGAACGCUGGCGGCAGGCCUAACACAUGCAAGUCGAGCGGAUGAAGGGAGCUUGCUCCUGGAUUCAGCGGCGGACGGGUGAGUAAUGCCUAGGAAUCUGCCUGGUAGUGGGGGAUAACGUCCGGAAACGGGCGCUAAUACCGCAUACGUCCUGAGGGAGAAAGUGGGGGAUCUUCGGACCUCACGCUAUCAGAUGAGCCUAGGUCGGAUUAGCUAGUUGGUGGGGUAAAGGCCUACCAAGGCGACGAUCCGUAACUGGUCUGAGAGGAUGAUCAGUCACACUGGAACUGAGACACGGUCCAGACUCCUACGGGAGGCAGCAGUGGGGAAUAUUGGACAAUGGGCGAAAGCCUGAUCCAGCCAUGCCGCGUGUGUGAAGAAGGUCUUCGGAUUGUAAAGCACUUUAAGUUGGGAGGAAGGGCAGUAAGUUAAUACCUUGCUGUUUUGACGUUACCAACAGAAUAAGCACCGGCUAACUUCGUGCCAGCAGCCGCGGUAAUACGAAGGGUGCAAGCGUUAAUCGGAAUUACUGGGCGUAAAGCGCGCGUAGGUGGUUCAGCAAGUUGGAUGUGAAAUCCCCGGGCUCAACCUGGGAACUGCAUCCAAAACUACUGAGCUAGAGUACGGUAGAGGGUGGUGGAAUUUCCUGUGUAGCGGUGAAAUGCGUAGAUAUAGGAAGGA
rnacentral:rRNA from 1 species